CAAGUCGAGCGAGCGGAACCACAGAUUUACUUCGGUAAUGACGUUGGGAAAGCGAGCGGCGGAUGGGUGAGUAACACGUGGGGAACCUGCCCCUAAGUCUGGGAUACCAUUUGGAAACAGGUGCUAAUACCGGAUAAUAAAGCGGAUCGCAUGAUCAGCUUUUGAAAGGCGGCGUAAGCUGUCGCUAAGGGAUGGCCCCGCGGUGCAUUAGCUAGUUGGUAAGGUAACGGCUUACCAAGGCGACGAUGCAUAGCCGAGUUGAGAGACUGAUCGGCCACAUUGGGACUGAGACACGGCCCAAACUCCUAUGGGAGGCAGCAGUAGGGAAUCUUCCACAAUGGACGCAAGUCUGAUGGAGCAACGCCGCGUGAGUGAAGAAGGUUUUCGGAUCGUAAAGCUCUGUUGUUGGUGAAGAAGGAUAGAGGUAGUAACUGGCCUUUAUUUGACGGUAAUCAACCAGAAAGUCACGGCUAACUACGUGCCAGCAGCCGCGGUAAUACGUAGGUGGCAAGCGUUGUCCGGAUUUAUUGGGCGUAAAGCGAGCGCAGGCGGAAAAAUAAGUCUAAUGUGAAAGCCCUCGGCUUAACCGAGGAACUGCAUCGGAAACUGUUUUUCUUGAGUGCAGAAGAGGAGAGUGGAACUCCAUGUGUAGCGGUGGAAUGCGUAGAUAUAUGGAAGAACACCAGUGGCGAAGGCGGCUCUCUGGUCUGCAACUGACGCUGAGGCUCGAAAGCAUGGGUAGCGAACAGGAUUAGAUACCCUGGUAGUC
rnacentral:rRNA from 1 species